rnacentral:lncRNA from 1 species
GGUGGUGAUGGUAAUUAUGUAUCAAAUGCCUGAUUCUAUUUCUGUUAUUAUUGUUUUGUCAUUUCUGUUCUACCCGAGAGCUGGCUGAACUCGCAGAGAGAAAUCCGGUUUUUCUUUUUGACUUUGUAAAAAUUAAUCAGCCCCGGUAGAAAAGUCAUCGCUCUUGGGGAAAAUAAAGUAGGAGCCACGAAAUGUCAUUUUAGCAGAGCGUGGGUUUUGCGACUGUAGGAAAGGAUUUAAGGACGCGCCUUCUGUUCGCUUUCCUAUGUAACGAGCAAAGGCUACACGCACGCACAGACGCCACAGCUCCCGGAUGCUGUGGCUCCCUUAUCUGGGCUUCUGCAGCUCCAGAAGCCCCUUCGGGAUGCUGCGAGGGGCUCCCGGUGGGUGGUGGUAGGAACGCUGCGGCCGCAGCCGCCACUCCUGCCGCGGCUGCUGUUGUUGCUGCUGCAGUCACGUGGGAGCCCCUUUAAGUUUCCAUAGAGAGGCCUCUCCGGUGUCACAUGAUGGACAUGAUAUAAUGAAACAACAUUGUGGAGAGGAAAGCAUUAGGGGAGCCCACGGCUACAAAAACAAGUGAGUGAGAAGAGGUGGGAGGAAGAGAAACUACGCCACCUCCCCUGCAGCCGAGCCGCACGCAGCGAGAAGUGGGCGACGCCGGGGGGCAGGGAGACGGGGUCCUCAGCCCCGCCCGGGGCCCCCGCCGCCCACCGCGGAGAGAACAACUUUUAGCCGGCAGCCUCGGCCACCACCGCACCUGUCUCCGGAGCCUCCAUCGCUCCUCGUGACGAUCAAAGGGAAAUUCUAGAAGAAUAUGCUCUACAGAUAGACAUGCGCAUCAUUUUCUUCCUCGCGUCUCGCUCGAGAAGCAGGGAAGAGAAAGGGAUUCAAGCGGCAGCGUGCGUUCCGCUCCAAGGCAUUUUAUUAAUGCUUUUGAAGAGUAGAAGAUAUUUUGCCUUCUGGAGUUUCUCUGACUUGCUGAUGGUCUAAGCUCAAAGCUGCCAGUUUAGGGGGGGUGAUCAAUAACUCCCUGUAACAUCUGAGUAAGUAGAGAUGCUGCUGUGUGUUGUGUUUAACUGCUGAAGAAAAAAAUAAAAUUUUGUGACUUUAAAGGUUUUUAAAGUAU